rnacentral:rRNA from 1 species
ACGGGAGGCAGCAGUGGGGAAUAUUGCACAAUGGGCGAAAGCCUGAUGCAGCGACGCCGCGUGAGUGAAGAAGUAUUUCGGUAUGUAAAGCUCUAUCAGCAGGGAAGAAAAAUGACGGUACCUGACUAAGAAGCACCGGCUAAAUACGUGCCAGCAGCCGCGGUAAUACGUAUGGUGCAAGCGUUAUCCGGAUUUACUGGGUGUAAAGGGAGCGCAGACGGCAUGGCAAGCCAGAUGUGAAAGGCAGGGGCACAACUCCUGGACUGCAUUUGGAACUGUCAAGCUAGAGUAUCGGAGAGGUAAGUGGAAUUCCUAGUGUAGCGGUGAAAUGCGUAGAUAUUAGGAGGAACACCAGUGGCGAAGGCGGCUUACUGGACGAUAACUGACGUUGAGGCUCGAAAGCGUGGGGAGCAAACAGGAUUAGAUACCCUGGUA